GAAUGCUGACAUAAGUAACGAUAAAGCGGGUGAAAAGCCCGCUCGCCGGAAGACCAAGGGUUCCUGUCCAACGUUAAUCGGGGCAGGGUGAGUCGACCCCUAAGGCGAGGCCGAAAGGCGUAGUCGAUGGGAAACAGGUUAAUAUUCCUGUACUUGGUGUUACUGCGAAGGGGGGACGGAGAAGGCUAUGUUGGCCGGGCGACGGUUGUCCCGGUUUAAGCGUGUAGGCUGGUUUUCCAGGCAAAUCCGGAAAAUCAAGGCUGAGGCGUGAUGACGAGGCACUACGGUGCUGAAGCGACAAAUGCCCUGCUUCCAGGAAAAGCCUCUAAGCAUCAGGUAACAUCAAAUCGUACCCCAAACCGACACAGGUGGUCAGGUAGAGAAUACCAAGGCGCUUGAGAGAACUCGGGUGAAGGAACUAGGCAAAAUGGUGCCGUAACUUCGGGAGAAGGCACGCUGAUAUGUAGGUGAAGCGACUUGCUCGUGGAGCUGAAAUCAGUCGAAGAUACCAGCUGGCUGCAACUGUUUAUUAAAAACACAGCACUGUGCAAACACGAAAGUGGACGUAUACGGUGUGACGCCUGCCCGGUGCCGGAAGGUUAAUUGAUGGGGUUAGCGGUAACGCGAAGCUCUUGAUCGAAGCCCCGGUAAACGGCGGCCGUAACUAUAACGGUCCUAAGGUAGCGAAAUUCCUUGUCGGGUAAGUUCCGACCUGCACGAAUGGCGUAAUGAUGGCCAGGCUGUCUCCACCCGAGACUCAGUGAAAUUGAACUCGCUGUGAAGAUGCAGUGUACCCGCGGCAAGACGGAAAGACCCCGUGAACCUUUACUAUAGCUUGACACUGAACAUUGAGCCUUGAUGUGUAGGAUAGGUGGGAGGCUUUGAAGUGUGGACGCCAGUCUGCAUGGAGCCGACCUUGAAAUACCACCCUUUAAUGUUUGAUGUUCUAACGUGGGCCCCUUACCGGGGUUGCGGACAGUGUCUGGUGGGUAGUUUGACUGGGGCGGUCUCCUCCUAAAGAGUAACGGAGGAGCACGAAGGUUGGCUAAUCCUGGUCGGACAUCAGGAGGUUAGUGCAAUGGCAUAAGCCAGCUUGACUGCGAGCGUGACGGCGCGAGCAGGUGCGAAAGCAGGUCAUAGUGAUCCGGUGGUUCUGAAUGGAAGGGCCAUCGCUCAACGGAUAAAAGGUACUCCGGGGAUAACAGGCUGAUACCGCCCAAGAGUUCAUAUCGACGGCGGUGUUUGGCACCUCGAUGUCGGCUCAUCACAUCCUGGGGCUGAAGUAGGUCCCAAGGGUAUGGCUGUUCGCCAUUUAAAGUGGUACGCGAGCUGGGUUUAGAACGUCGUGAGACAGUUCGGUCCCUAUCUGCCGUGGGCGCUGGAGAACUGAGGGGGGCUGCUCCUAGUACGAGAGGACCGGAGUGGACGCAUCACUGGUGUUCGGGUUGUCAUGCCAAUGGCACUGCCCGGUAGCUAAAUGCGGAAGAGAUAAGUGCUGAAAGCAUCUAAGCACGAAACUUGCCCCGAGAUGAGUUCUCCCUGACUCCUUGAGAGUCCUGAAGGAACGUUGAAG
rnacentral:rRNA from 1 species